rnacentral:rRNA from 1 species
AUUGAACGCUGGCGGCAGGCUUAACACAUGCAAGUCGAGCGGGGAAGAGUAGCUUGCUACUUAACCUAGCGGCGGACGGGUGAGUAAUGCUUAGGAAUCUGCCUAUUAGUGGGGGACAACAUCUCGAAAGGGAUGCUAAUACCGCAUACGUCCUACGGGAGAAAGCAGGGGACCUUCGGGCCUUGCGCUAAUAGCUGAGCCUAAGGCGGAUUAGCUAGUUGGGGGGGUAAAGGCCUACCAAGGCGACGAUCUGUAGCGGGUCGGAGAGGAUGAGCCGCCAAACUGGGACGGAGACACGGCCCAGACUCCUACGGGAGGCAGCAGUGGGGAAUAUUGGAGAAUGGGGGGAACCCUGAUCCAGCCAUGCCGCGUGUGUGAAGAAGGCCUUUUGGUUGUAAAGCACUUUAAGCGAGGAGGAGGCUACCGAGAUUAAUACUCUUGGAUAGUGGACGUUACUCGCAGAAUAAGCACCGGCUAACUCUGUGCCAGCAGCCGCCGUAA